rnacentral:lncRNA from 1 species
UCUCUUCCUUUUCCGGACAAUGAAGAGCCAAUAACUCCAAGAGCUAAUGGAAGUCCAUUACAAUGAUGUACUAUUCUCCAAGAGUCAUCUACAAAAACAUCAACAGGGUCAGCUUGUCCAAAGGCAUUCCAACUGAAAAGCUCAAGGCCCCGUUUGUUUGCAGGAAAGUAGUUUCCUUUUGGAAAGUGAAUUCCGGGGAAAGUGAAUUCCGGGAAAGUAAAUUCCGGGAAAGUAUUUUCCGAUAUUUGGUAGUGUAAUGGAAAAUAAGUUGGAAAAUAUUUUCCAGUGUUUGGUUAUGUUAUGGAAAAUGAGCUGGAAAAUAACUUAUUAAUGUUUUAUUUUUUCAAGUUUAUUAAAAUAAUAAGGAACAAAUCUUACAAAUUAAAAAGUUGAAUGAGAAUUAAAUUGAAAAAAAAUAUAAUUUCAUAAAUUAUCUCAAAUAAAAUAAAUAAUAAUCAAAAUAAUAGAGAUCAAAUCUAAAAAAUUAAAAAAAAUAAAAGGUGAAGAAAUUAAAAUAAUAAUAAUUAACAUUUCAUAAAUUAUUUCAAAUAAAAUAAGUAAAAAUCAAAAGAAUGAGGACCAAAUUUGAUAGAUAAAAAAUUUCAAUAAAAAAAUGAUAAGGAAAAAGCAAAUAGCAAUUAUAAAAAUAAGGACCAAAAUUAAUAUAAAAAUUAAAUUUUAAGAGAUGAAAUUGAAAAAUAAAUAUUCAAAACAAAUUAUAUAUAGCAAUCAAAAGUUUGAGGAUCAAAUUUGAUAUAAUCAACAAAUAAUGACAUUUCUAAAUUUUUCACAACUUCCGGAAAGUGUUUUCCGCCCAAAUUUUUCAGGAAAACACUUUCCUGAAAACCAAGCCAAAUUUUCCUUUGACUGGAAAGUGUUUUCCGUUGACCAACUUUUCCAAUGGCAAAUAAACACAGGAAAGUUUGGAAAGUGGUUUCCCGGAAACCACUUUCCGGAAAACAAACACAGCCAAAAAGAAAAAUACUUUCCUAGAAAUCAAACCAAAUUUUUCUUUGACUGGAAAGUGUUUUCCGUUGACUGAAAAGUGUUUCCGUUGACGGAAAGUGUUUUCCGUUGACCAACUUUUCUAAUGGCAAACAAACACAGGAAAGUUUGGAAAAUGGUUUCCCGGAAAAUGAAUUCCGGGAAACAAACAUGGCCCAAGUGAUUUUUCAUCAUCUAGCAGUUCAACUUUGUACCGGACCCACUCAAUAUCAUUAGCUGAAAACAAACCCUUAUUUCUGGUUGUUACAAUGAUCUUACUUCCUUUACAAAGCCAAUUUUGCAUGUCAACAAUUGCAUUGACA